rnacentral:snoRNA from 14 species
UGGACAUUUACUUUUGUUUGGUUUCUUCUCAAAGUGAAGAUAACUCAUUGUGAAUGUCCUAGAACAAUAUAGUAGCUUUCUGUUCACCUUUUGCAAGUGAAAAAGGUGAAUCGUUCCACUGCUGACAUUU